AGGGUAAGGUUAGGCAUUUAGGUUUGAUGUUUAAGGUAGGGUAGGGGGCUAGGGAAUGCAUUAUGUCGUGACGGGUCCACAAAGAUGGAGACACUUGUGGUGUGUGUGUGUGUGGGGUGUGUGUGUGGGUGUGUGUGUGUGUGUGGGUGUGGGGUGUGGGUGUGUCUGGGGUCCCAGUGAUUGCUUUGUGUGAAUUUGGGGCAAUGGCCAGAUGGUGGCGGUGAAUGAACUUUAUGUUUGGGUGGAGUGGGGGGUCAAGACUGAUCUCCAUAUAGGCCACGCCCAUUGUGUAAAAUCAAGUUUUCUCCAGUUUAAUUUUUUAGUACUUCUUCUACACAUUUUGAGCAAUUAUCACCAAGUUUGGUCCGGCACAUCUUCGGACCAGGCUAUAAAACAUGACUUUCUUGGAUUUGUGAUGUUCCGUUCAGUUAACGCAACACGUUCGAUAUCAAUACACUGAAUACUGUGACUAAACAAGCUAACAUCGCUGUGUGCAGCAAGAGGGGCGGGGCUUCAGGGCUUCAGGGCUCUGAAGACUCAAGCAUGUCCUCUGCAGGUCUACAUUUGCUACAUGGGAGCGGGCGGGCCCAGGAUGUAGCUACUGCGAACCAUAAGGAUGGAGUCUACGAACAAACAGGUGAUGAACUGGCUGCACACAGUCCCGCUCUGACCUGGUAACUGAAGGAAGGGAAAUGGCAACGCGGCCCUAAUCACUGAUCCGAAUGUACAGAAAAAUGUCUGAAUGUGUCCAAGAAUCUCCUGUUAUUCUUCACAUAAUGCACCAAAGAGCAUGUGUUAAAGUAUGUGUCUCGAAUCAUCAACGUGACUGUUUCUGUGGCUCAACUUUUCAUUUUAAUACUGCGUUUUACCUCUGGCUGUGCUGAUGGUUGCGGGACAGGUUCUCUUCAGGACCCUCUGUGAUGCUGAAGAGCCAGUCUAUGAACUGAGAGAGAGAGAGAGAGAGA